AUGCACAAAGGCAUGGUCCCGACCUUUUGAUCAGCUUUUACCUAAUUUACACAUGCAAGUCUCCGCACCCCUGUGAAUACGCCCUCAAUCCCCAAACCUGGGGACGAGGAGCAGGUAUCAGGCACAAAAUUUUUAGCCCAAGACGCCUAGCCAAGCCACACCCCCAAGGGGAUCCAGCAGUGACAAACAUUAAGCUAUAAGUGAAAACUUGACUCAGUUAAGGUAAAGAGAGCCGGUAAAACUCGUGCCAGCAACCGCGGUUAAACGAGAGGCUCUAGUUGAUAUACUACGGCGUAAAGGGUGGUUAAGGAACAAUGUAAAAUAAAGCCAAACGGCCCUUUAACUGUUAUACGCUUUUAGAUGCUAGAGGCCCAAACACGAAAGUAGCUUUAAAUUAAUUACCUGAACCCACGAAAGCUAAGAAACAAACUGGGAUUAGAUACCCCACUAUGCUUAGCCAUAAACAAAGACAUUUAAUCACAACAAUGUUCGCCCGGACACUACAAGCAUAAGCUUAAAACCCAAAGGACCUGACGGUGCCUUAGAUCCCCCUAGAGGAGCCUGUUCUAGAACCGAUUAUCCCCGUUAAACCUCACCAUUUCUAGCAAAAUCAGCCUAUAUACCACCGUCGCCAGCUUACCCUGUGAAGGAAUAACAGUAAGCAAGAUGGGCAUAGCCCAGAAAGUCAGGUCGAGGUGUAGCACAUGAAAUGGGAAGAAAUGGGCUACACUUUCUACCCCAGAAUAUACGAAAAUGUAACAUGAAACAAUACUUGAAGGAGGAUUUAGCAGUAAAAGAGAAGCAGAGUGUCUCUUUGAACCCGGCUCUAAGGCGCGUACACACCGCCCGUCACUCCCUCCGGUCAAUUGCACAAGAAAUAAUUAAUACAGAAGCACAGACAAGGGGGGAAAAGUCGUAACAAGGUAAGUGUACCGGAAGGUGCACUUGGACAUUAUCCAAG
rfam:Danio rerio mitochondrial genome, complete sequence.